GACGAACGCUGGCGGCGUGCCUAAUACAUGCAAGUCGAACGCAGUGGGGACGGGUGAGUAACCCGUGGGUAACCUCCCAUCAGAGGGGAUAACACUUGGAAACAGGUGCUAAACCGAUACUGAUGGAUGAACCCGCGGUGCAUUAGCUAGUGGGUGGGGUAAAGGCUCACCGAGGCGACGAUCUCUAGCUGGUCUGAGAGGAUGAUCAGCCACACUGGGACUGAGACACGGCCCAGACUCCUACGGGAGGCAGCAGUGGGGAAUAUUGCACAAUGGGCGAAAGUCUGAUGCAGCCAUGCCGCGUGUAUGAAGAAGGCCUUAGGGUUGUAAAGUACUGUCAGCGGGGAGGCGUUACCCGAAGAAGAAGCACCGGCUAACUCCGUGCCAGCAGCCGCGGUAAUUC
rnacentral:rRNA from 1 species